rnacentral:rRNA from 1 species
UACGGGGGGGGCAAGCGUUGUUCGGAAUUACUGGGCGUAAAGGGCUCGUAGGUGGCCUUCUAAGUCAGACGUGAAAUCCCUCGGCUCAACCGAGGAACUGCGUCUGAUACUGGGAGGCUUGAAUUCGGGAGAGGGACGUGGAAUUCCAGGUGUAGCGGUGAAAUGCGUAGAUAUCUGGAGGAACACCGGUGGCGAAGGCGGCGUCCUGGACCGAUAUUGACACUGAGGAGCGAAAGCCAGGGGAGCAAACGGG